AUUGAACGCUGGCGGCAGGCUUAACACAUGCAAGUCGAGCGGGGUGAUGGUGCUUGCACUAUCACUUAGCGGCGGACGGGUGAGUAAUGCUUAGGAAUCUGCCUAUUAGUGGGGGACAACAUCUCGAAAGGGAUACUAAUACCGCAUACGUCCUACGGGAGAAAGCAGGGGAUCACUUGUGACCUUGCGCUAAUAGAUGAGCCUAAGUCGGAUUAGCUAGUUGGUGGGGUAAAGGCCUACCAAGGCGACGAUCUGUAGCGGGUCUGAGAGGAUGAUCCGCCACACUGGGACUGGGACACGGCCCAGACUCCUACGGGAGGCAGCAGUGGGGAAUAUUGGACAAUGGGGGGAGCCCUGAGCCAGCCAUGCCGCGUGUGUGAAGAAGGCCUUAUGGUUGUAAAGCACUUUAAGCGAGGAGGAGGCUCUUUUGGUUAAUACCCAAGAUGAGUGGACGUUACUCGCAGAAUAAGCACCGGCUAACUCUGUGCCAGCCGCCGCCGUAA
rnacentral:rRNA from 1 species